UUACAGAUUCACUGCCCUAAAAACCACUCACAGCAGGGAUCGUUUUACCCCGGACACCAAAGAAAUCCUCCAGAUUUGAGCCACUCGGUGGCGAAACACGGACUGAAAGAAGAUGACUAGUGGAGCAACUAUUUCUGCGUGACUGCAGAGAGAAAACACAAAGAAAGGAAUUUAGAAUGACUCAGCCCGGGCGGCGCAGCGGGUGAGGGCCUCGCGAACAAUGGAAAGUCACACUGGGGCCUCAGAACCCGGGUCUACACCCUCAGCGUCAGAGGCUGCUGACCGCUGGGGGCAGCAGGGACACUAGGCAAAAAGUGACUUUCUUGUCCCUCAUUUCUUGCUUUUUAGCCUAAAAUGCAGAACUAGCUCUUAAGAUUGAAAUAUAAUUAUGAUAAUUUUGUAAAACUCACAGGAGCUCUGGGACAUAAAAGCAAAGGUCCGGGGCCUCAUUCCCAGAGGCCAGGGUCAUUUGGGCAGCAAAUAACAAAUGCCAG
rnacentral:lncRNA from 1 species